GCCAUUCUGCAGGCUGCAUUAAGGUCCUUCACGGUGGAUGUCUUCGCUUGGUCCAAAUCCUUCGGCUGUCAUCAUGAGUGUCUCCAGCAAUCCAGAUGGUGACGUGAGGGUUCUGGUAAUGUACACCGGUGGAACUAUAGGAAUGUCUUACGGUACUCAAGAAACAAAUACUGGGAUAGCCACUCAUCCUUUGGCUGAAGAAGAUCAGGGGGAGGAGGAAGGGACUAAGAUUCCUGAAACAGAAGUUCUGUCUCCGGAAAAAAACGCUCUUGUUAAAACUCUACGCAAACUCCCUUUUCUGCACGAUGAGCAAUAUGCACAACAGACUGGACUGUAUGAGAAGACUCCAGAGAACACGCUGGUGGUGCCACUGUCCAAGCAGAAUAAGAGGAUCGUAUAUACAGUUAUAGAGUACUCUCCACUCCUCGACUCCUGCAAUAUGACCGCAGAUGACUGGGCCACUAUCGGAAAAGACAUUGAGGACAGCUAUAAUGAGUAUGAUGGUUUUGUCAUUCUGCAUGGCACAGACACAAUGGCUUACACCGCCUCUGCCUUAUCCUUCAUGUGUGAGAAUCUGGGAAAGCCUGUCAUCCUAACCGGAUCACAGGUGCCCAUCUUUCAGCCAAGAAGUGAUGGGAGAGAAAACCUCUUGGGGGCGCUGUUGAUAGCAGGACAGUUUGACAUCCCUGAGGUUUGCCUCUUUUUUCAUCAUAAGUUGUACCGAGGAAAUCGUGUCACCAAAGUGGACGCUGAAAGCUUUAAUGCAUUUUUCUCACCAAAUCUGCCACCAUUAGCCACUGCUGAAGUCGACAUAAAAAUUAACUGGGAUACUGUGUGGCGAGCCAAUACAACCACCAAAUUUACUUUCAACACACAGAUGAACCGUAAUGUGGGUGUCCUGCGACUGUUCCCGGGAAUCACUGCUCGUACGGUCAGGGCCUUCUUGCAGUCGACUAUGGACGGGGUCGUAUUGGAGACGUACGGCAGUGGUAACGCCCCAGACAACUGCGCUGACCUGCUGGAUGAGAUCCGUAAGGCGACCAAGAGAGGACUCAUCAUGGUCAACUGCACUCGGUGUCUCAGAGGCACAGUCACAACCUCAUACGCCACUGGCCAGGCUCUGAGUAAUGCCGGUGUGAUUGCUGGGUUUGAUAUGACCUCGGAAGCUGCCUUUUCAAAACUUGCCUAUGUGCUGGCAAAACAAGACCUCAGUUUAGAAGAGAAGAAGGAGAUGCUGAGUCGCAAUCUGCGUGGUGAGAUGGUGGCUGACCCAAAAGGAGCAAAGCUUUCUUUCAGUGACAGUCACCUUAAUCAGGGCAUUCCCUGGUCCAUCAGGUCAUUCAAGUCCCUCAGCGUUAGCUGUAAAGAGAAGCUUGAAGAUGCACUAAAGCCCAGUCCGGCCUGUGCUGCUGCUAAGAUUGGAGACAUUGAUGCUUUAGAGAUCUUAAGGGAAAUGGGCACUGACCUGAGCAAUCCCAAUUAUGAUGGCCGCACUCCCCUUCACAUCGCCGCAUGUGAGGGGCAUCUGAAUGUAGUGAGGUAUCUCCUGAAUAAAGGGGUCACCAUCAAUGCCAAAGAUCGCUUUGGUGAUACACCUCUUCACAAUGCUGUUCGCUUGAGCCUCAUCGCACUGUUAAAUACAGACUGAACGGCGGCUCAAAACUUCCGACCACUGCACGCAAACUUCAUCUUAGGGACCUGCACGGGAUGGAUUUUUUUGUCCCGCUCCCACAAGAUUUUGUCCCGCGCCCACCCGCAAAAGUAUGUUAUUUCAUCCUGUUCCCGCCCGCGACAUUCAUGUUUUGUCCCACUCCUGCCUGCAAAAGCCUGCACAAAAGUAACUAUGUAUUUUUUUCACUACAUCAAUGAAAUGUUCAUGAAAUAGUUCUGUAACAGCUCGUAAUUUCCACAAGAUCUCACUGAAACCACUGCUAUUCUUAACAGAAAAGCAAGCAUCGGCUGCGUGCAUGCAUGGCAAAAUGCAAGCAAAAAAAAUCCCUUAAAGCUGACAUCUUAAUUCAUCGUGAUCUCAUAAAGCUCUCAUAACACAAUAAAUAUAUGCACAAUGAAUCUUCCACAAUGUCUUCACUUUGCGUGUUGUAAUGAGAGGAUUUGUGAGCAUGCAACAUUCAGCACUGUGCAAGAACUUAUAAGCGGUGAGUGGAUUUUAACUUAAACACCACUGAUUGGCCAAUGCGUUCCAGAAAUCAACAAAUGGCUACACUGCUCAAGCUGCAAACACGUGCACCUGUUAAUAAUUUUUAUGUUAUAUUAGUUGUUUUUAUGCAAUAGAUGAAUAACAAUUUGUUUUUUAUUUUAUGUUUAGAUAUUUCUAUUUUGCGAUUCUUGCAAAUUGUUUUAUUCUCCCGCAUCCCGCCCACACCCGCACUCGUCAGUCAAGUUUUGUCCCACACCGCACUCUGUUGCGUCAUGUCCCGUGGGAGUGCAAGUCUCUACUUCAUCUCUUGGCUGCAUGAAACAAACCGUCACGCUAAUAUGAAGGCACACCAAUGUUGUGGAACUGCUGAGGAAGCCUGGAGCUCACUUUUCCCAGGAUGAAAUGGAGAGUGUUAAAACAGAGUUGUGCAGUCUUGCAGCAAGUGGCAACUUGGAAGAACUGAAG